GCCCCAGACUCCUACGGGAGGCAGCAGUGGGGAAUAUUGCACAAUGGGGGAAACCCUGAUGCAGCGACGCCGCGUGAGCGAUGAAGUAUUUCGGUAUGUAAAGCUCUAUCAGCAGGGAAGAAAAUGACGGUACCUGACUAAGAAGCCCCGGCUAACUACGUGCCAGCAGCCGCGGUAAUACGUAGGGGGCAAGCGUUAUCCGGAUUUACCGGGUGUAAAGGGAGCGUAGACGGCUGUGCAAGCCAGAUGUGAAAGCCCGGGGCUCAACCCCGGGACUGCAUUUGGAACUGUCAAACUAGAGUACGGGAGAGGUAAGAGGAAUUCCUAGUGUAGCGGUGAAAUGCGUAGAUAUUAGGAGGAACACCAGUGGCGAAGGCGUCUUACUGGACCGAAACUGACGUUGAGGCUCGAAAGCGUGGGGAGCAAACAGGAUUAGAUACCCCCGUA
rnacentral:rRNA from 1 species